rnacentral:rRNA from 2 species
ACCUGACUGCUAUCGGAUUGAUACUAAGCCAUGCGAGUCAUUGUAGCAAUACAAGGCAGACGGCUCAGUAACGCGUAGUCAACCUAACCUAUGGACGGGAAUAAUCUCGGGAAACUGAGAAUAAUGCCCGAUAGAACACUAUGCCUGGAAUGGUUUGUGUUCCAAAUGAUUUAUCGCCGUAGGGUGGGACUGCGGCCUAUCAGUUUGUUGGUGAGGUAAUGGCCCACCAAGACUAUUACAGGUACGGGCUCUGAGAGGAGUAGCCCGGAGAUGGGUACUGAGACACGGACCCAGGCCCUAUGGGGCGCAGCAGGCGAGAAAACUUUGCAAUGUGCGAAAGCACGACAAGGUUAAUCCGAGUGGUUUGUGCUAAACAGACCUUUUGUUAGUCCUAGAAACACUAACGAAUAAGGGGUGGGCAAGUUCUGGUGUCAGCCGCCGCGGUAAAACCAGCACCUCAAGUGGUCAGGAUGAUUAUUGGGCCUAAAGCAUCCGUAGCCGGCUCUGUAAGUUUUCGGUUAAAUCUGUAUGCUCAACAUACAGGCUGCCGGGAAUACUGCAGAGCUAGGGAGUGGGAGAGGUAGACGGUACUCGGUAGGAAGGGGUAAAAUCCUUUGAUCUAUUGAUGACCACCUGUGGCGAAGGCGGUCUACCAGAACACGUCCGACGGUGAGGGAUGAAAGCUGGGGGAGCAAACCGGAUUAGAUACCCGGGUAGUCCCAGCUGUAAACUAUGCAAACUCAGUGAUGCAUUGGCUUGUGGCCAAUGCAGUGCUGCAGGGAAGCCGUUAAGUUUGCCGCCUGGGAAGUACGUACGCAAGUAUGAAACUUAAAGGAAUUGGCGGGGGAGCACCACAAGGGGUGAAGCCUGCGGUUC